rnacentral:rRNA from 1 species
UGGCGGCGUGCCUAAUACAUGCAAGUCGAGCGAACGGACGAGAAGCUUGCUUCUCUGAUGUUAGCGGCGGACGGGUGAGUAACACGUGGAUAACCUACCUAUAAGACUGGGAUAACUUCGGGAAACCGGAGCUAAUACCGGAUAAUAUUUUGAACCGCAUGGUUCAAAAGUGAAAGACGGUCUUGCUGUCACUUAUAGAUGGAUCCGCGCUGCAUUAGCUAGUUGGUAAGGUAACGGCUUACCAAGGCAACGAUGCAUAGCCGACCUGAGAGGGUGAUCGGCCACACUGGAACUGAGACACGGUCCAGACUCCUACGGGAGGCAGCAGUAGGGAAUCUUCCGCAAUGGGCGAAAGCCUGACGGAGCAACGCCGCGUGAGUGAUGAAGGUCUUCGGAUCGUAAAACUCUGUUAUUAGGGAAGAACAUAUGUGUAAGUAACUGUGCACAUCUUGACGGUACCUAAUCAGAAAGCCACGGCUAACUACGUGCCAGCAGCCGCGGUAAUACGUAGGUGGCAAGCGUUAUCCGGAAUUAUUGGGCGUAAAGCGCGCGUAGGCGGUUUUUUAAGUCUGAUGUGAAAGCCCACGGCUCAACCGUGGAGGGUCAUUGGAAACUGGAAAACUUGAGUGCAGAAGAGGAAAGUGGAAUUCCAUGUGUAGCGGUGAAAUGCGCAGAGAUAUGGAGGAACACCAGUGGCGAAGGCGACUUUCUGGUCUGUAACUGACGCUGAUGUGCGAAAGCGUGGGGAUCAAACAGGAUUAGAUACCCUGGUAGUCCACGCCGUAAACGAUGAGUGCUAAGUGUUAGGGGGUUUCCGCCCCUUAGUGCUGCAGCUAACGCAUUAAGCACUCCGCCUGGGGAGUACGACCGCAAGGUUGAAACUCAAAGGAAUUGACGGGGACCCGCACAAGCGGUGGAGCAUGUGGUUUAAUUCGAAGCAACGCGAAGAACCUUACCAAAUCUUGACAUCCUU